rnacentral:rRNA from 1 species
AUGAACGCUGGCGGCGUGCCUAAUACAUGCAAGUCGAGCGAACAGACGAGGAGCUUGCUCCUCUGACGUUAGCGGCGGACGGGUGAGUAACACGUGGAUAACCUACCUAUAAGACUGGGAUAACUUCGGGAAACCGGAGCUAAUACCGGAUAAUAUAUUGAACCGCAUGGUUCAAUAGUGAAAGACGGUUUUGCUGUCACUUAUAGAUGGAUCCGCGCCGCAUUAGCUAGUUGGUAAGGUAACGGCUUACCAAGGCAACGAUGCGUAGCCGACCUGAGAGGGUGAUCGGCCACACUGGAACUGAGACACGGUCCAGACUCCUACGGGAGGCAGCAGUAGGGAAUCUUCCACAAUGGGCGAAAGCUUGACGGAGCAACGCCGCGUGAGUGAUGAAGGUCUUCGGAUCGUAAAACUCUGUUAUUAGGGAAGAACAAAUGUGUAAGUAACUAUGCACGUCUUGACGGUACCUAAUCAGAAAGCCACGGCUAACUACGUG